rnacentral:tRNA from 1 species
GUCAAUUUAACUCAAUUGGUAGAGUGUGUUCUUUGUAAGUACAAAGUUAUAGGUUCAAGUCCUGUAAUUGACA